rnacentral:rRNA from 1 species
GACGAACGCUGGCGGCGUGCCUAAUACAUGCAAGUCGAACGCAGUGGGGACGGGUGAGUAAAACGUGGGUAACCGCCCAUCAGAGGGGAUAACACUUGGCAACAGGUGCUAAACCGAUACUGAUGGAUGUACCCGGGGUGCAUGAGCUAGUUGGUGGGGUAACGGCUCACCAAGGCCACGAUGCAUAGCCGACCUGAGAGGGUGAGCGGCCACACUGGAACUGAGACACGGCCCAGACUCCUACGGGAGGCAGCAGUAGGGAAUCUGCGGCAAUGGACGAAAGCCUGAUCGAGCAACGCCGCGUGAGUGAAGAAGGUUUUCGGAUCGUAAAACUCUGUUGUUAGAGAGGCGGUAUCUAACGAGAAAGCCACGGCUAACUACGUGCCAGCCGCCGCGGUAAUUC